GGUCCUGUCUAGCUCUACUGGUAGAGCAUGGCAUUAAUGUUGCCAGGGUUAGGGGUUUGAUUCUCACUGGGACCA